rnacentral:piRNA from 1 species
UGCAGAGACCAUGGCCAGAGAUGAGAAUGU